rnacentral:rRNA from 1 species
AUCGAACGCUGGCGGCAGGCCUAACACAUGCAAGUCGAGCGGAUGAAGGGAGCUUGCUCCUGGAUUCAGCGGCGGACGGGUGGGUAAUGCCUAGGAAUCUGCCUGGUAGUGGUGGAUAACGUCCGGAAACGGGCGCUAAUACCGCAUACGUCCUGAGGGAGCAAGUUGGGGAUCUUCGGACCUCACGCUAUCAGAGGAGCCUAGGUCGGAUUAGCUAGUUGGUGGGGUAAAGGCCUACCAAGGCGACGAUCCGUAACUGGUCUGAGAGGAUGAUCAGUCACACUGGAACUGGGACAGGGACAAGACUACUAAGGGAGGGAGCAGAGGGGAAUAUUGGACAGUAGGCGAAAGCAUGGCACAGUGAUGCCGAGUGUGUGAAGAAGGUCUUCGGUUUGUAAAGCACUUUAAGUUGGGAUGAAGGGCAGUAAGUUGAUACCUUGCUGUUUUGACGUUAACAACAGAAUAAGCACCGGCUAACUUCGUG